CCCUUAGAUGUUCUGGGCCGCACGCGCGCUACACUGAAGGGAUCAGCGUGUUUUCCCUUCCCGAGAGGGACGGGUAACCCGCUGAACCCCCUUCGUGGCAGGGAUCGGAGCUUGCAAUUGUUCUCCGUGAACCAGGAAUUCCCAGUAAGCGCAAGUCAUAAGCUUGCGUUGAUUACGUCCCUGCCCUUUGUACACACCGCCCGUCGCUACUACCGAUUGAACGUUUUAGUGAGGUAUUUGGACUGGGCCUUGGGAGGUUUCGGCCUCCCUUGUUGCUCGGAAAGACUCCCAAACUUGAGCGUUUAGAGGAAGUAAAAGUCGUAACA
rnacentral:rRNA from 1 species